GGAUGGGGCGGUGCAGGAGCAGCGAUGGGUAGUCCUGCUGGAUCUUCCGCGUCAAAUGGAUCGACAUCGCGGUCACCACUCACUCGCCAGCUAUGGUUUGGCUGCGUCAUUUUGUCUUGAUUGUGGUCAAAUGCUCUCCUGUUGCGUUUGCGUGAUGUUGGAUCACAGCUCUGUCCACCUCCGGUUCCACGUUCCCGCUACAUUUUUAUUUUUACACGUAAGGUCGACAGCUAUUAUUAAACAGCUCGCAUACAUGGCAACGAUCUGGGUAUUUCCGAUUUAUGGGAGCAUUUUCCUGCAGCAUUAACCAUAUUUUUUCUUCAAUCAAGUAAUAAUUAUGUUUGUGCCUCGCAUGUAUUCACGGAGACCGAUCCAAUUGGCUCUCCGGAGAGACACUCGCAUGCUUGCAAGGUUUCUGGACUGCUGAUUCUCCUUCAUUGAUGCGGAACCCAUUCUUCCACCGAAAAAAAAGAAUUGCAGAACCUAUUGAGGGUUGAUAA